rnacentral:rRNA from 1 species
GCGUAUAUUAAAGUUGCUGCGUUUAAAAAGCUCGUAGUUGUAUCUCAGUUCAUGUCAAUUGGUCAAUCACUUAAUAGUGAUUACUUUUUGACUGAACAUUAAACCGAUUUGUUUUCUGAUGCUCUUUACCGGGUGUUAUUAACGAUCGGGAUCUUUACUUUGAAAAAAUCAGAGUGCUCAAAGCAGGCAUUUCGCCUAAAUAUUCUUGCAUGGAAUAAUGGAAUAAGAUCUAGGUUCUAUUCUGUUGGUCUUUUGAACCUCAGUUAAUGAUUAAAAGGGACAGACGGGGGCAUUCGUAUUGCGGCGCUAGAGGUGAAAUUCUUGGACCGUCGCAAGACGAACUAC